CUUAUUCUUCACAUAAACCACUCAUUUCAGUGAAUCAGUAAUGAGAGCUAAUUACUAUUUCGGACGACUCAUUUCCAGUGAAGAUUGACUUUCUUUGAUCAUUUAAAUAAUCACCAAUCGAUUUUUAAAAUAUUCCCAACAGCAAAAUUUGUUCGGUUGUUUGUUUUGUUUUUUAUAUUUUCUUCGUUGUUCCUAUUUUUUCGUAAUACGAACGAAAAAAAUUCGGAAAAAGAAGAAGCCGCUAAUAGUUUGCCGGUGCUAUCAAACUCUCUUCGCAAAAGGUCAUUUGCUAUCGAUUUUCUUACAAGAAAAUAGAACUCAAGCAUGCAUACGUGUUGAUUAAAAAUUAGCAUCGGAACAAUAUUUGUACGUUGGAUAAGGUGACCUUGAAAUCAGUGCAUACAGUGUUCAUGCUCGCUGGAAAUCGCUGGCUUCGUUUGCAAGGAGGUGACGGUUUUAAAUGGUCAACACAAACACAAAACACUAGACGAAAACUAUUCGCAGCGUCUUGUGAAUGUGAUAACUGAGUAAACCGUUUGGAGAUCGGUUGAAACAGCAUUUGUUUGAAGAAGAGAGCAGAAGAGAGCAGAAGAGAGCAAUCAAGCUUCGAGGAACGACAGACUUGUUGGUAUCUGGAUUCUUUUGCAACCACUGUGUGAACUGUGUGCCUGGUGAUCAUCGUGAUAGCUCAUUUGUGUACAUCCAAAACGGCUUGCAACUAUUACCGAAAGACACGAUCGAC